CAGAGGUCCCAAGCGUUGUUCGGAUUCACUGGGCGUAAAGGGUGCGUAGGUGGUAAGGCAAGUCAGGUGUGAAAUCUCCGGGCUCAACCCGGAAAUGGCAUUCGAAACUACCUUGCUAGAGGAUUUGAGGGGGGACUGGAAUACUUGGUGUAGCAGUGAAAUGCGUAGAUAUCAAGUGGAACACCAGUGGCGAAGGCGAGUCCCUGGAAAAUUCCUGACACUGAGGCACGAAAGCUAGGGGAGCAAACAGGAUUAGAUACCCUGGUAGUCCUAGCCCUAAACGGUGCUUGCUUGCUGUAAGAGGAAUCGACCCCUCUUGUGGCGGAGCUAACGCGUUAAGCAAGCCGCCUGGGAAGUACGGUCGCAAGAUUA
rnacentral:rRNA from 1 species